rnacentral:rRNA from 1 species
UACGAAGGGGGCAAGCGUUGUUCGGAAUUACUGGGCGUAAAGGGCGCGCAGGCGGCCGAUCAAGUCAGGCGUGAAAGCCCCGGGCUCAACCCGGGAGGUGCGCUUGAGACUGGUCGGCUGGAGUUCGGGAGAGGUGAGUGGAAUUCCCAGUGUAGAGGUGAAAUUCGUAGAUAUUGGGAAGAACACCGGUGGCGAAGGCGGCUCACUGGACCGAAACUGACGCUGAGGCGCGAAAGCGUGGGGAGCAAACAGG